rnacentral:rRNA from 1 species
AACGAACGCUGGCGGCAGGCCUAACACAUGCAAGUCGAGCGAGGUAGCAAUACCUAGCGGCGGACGGGUGAGUAACGCGUGGGAACGUACCCUUUGCUACGGAAUAGCCCCGGGAAACUGGGAGUAAUACCGUAUGUGCCCUUCGGGGGAAAGAUUUAUCGGCAAAGGAUCGGCCCGCGUUGGAUUAGGUAGUUGGUGGGGUAAUGGCCUACCAAGCCGACGAUCCAUAGCUGGUUUGAGAGGAUGAUCAGCCACACUGGGACUGAGACACGGCCCAGACUCCUACGGGAGGCAGCAGUGGGGAAUCUUAGACAAUGGGCGCAAGCCUGAUCUAGCCAUGCCGCGUGAGUGAUGAAGGCCUUAGGGUUGUAAAGCUCUUUCAGAUGGGAAGAUAAUGACGGUACCAUCAGAAGAAGCCCGGCUAACUCCGUGCCAGCAGCCGCGGUAAUGUACAGUGU